rnacentral:rRNA from 1 species
UACGUAGGGUGCGAGCGUUGUCCGGAAUUAUUGGGCGUAAAGAGCUCGUAGGCGGUUCGUCUCGUCGGCUGUGAAAUCCCGAGGCUCAACCUCGGGUCUGCAGUCGAUACGGGCGGACUGGAGUUCGGCAGGGGAGACUGGAAUUCCUGGUGUAGCGGUGAAAUGCGCAGAUAUCAGGAGGAACACCGGUGGCGAAGGCGGGUCUCUGGGCCGAUACUGACGCUGAGGAGCGAAAGCGUGGGGAGCGAACAGG